rnacentral:rRNA from 1 species
UACGGGGGGAGCAAGCGUUGUUCGGAUUUACUGGGCGUAAAGGGCGCGUAGGCGGCCGCUCAAGUCGGGGGUGAAAGCCUGUGGCUUAACCACAGAAUUGCCUUCGAUACUGUUUGGCUUGAGACCGGAAGAGGUGAGUGGAACUGCGAGUGUAGAGGUGAAAUUCGUAGAUAUUCGCAAGAACACCAGUGGCGAAGGCGGCUCACUGGUCCGGUUCUGACGCUGAGGCGCGAAAGCGUGGGGAGCAAACAGG